GAGUUUGAUGAAUUGAAUUGAUUGUGGAUGGCUGAUAGAAUGAGAAAGUUGGACUACCUGUGAAUGCUGUAUAAUCUGAUUUUGAUGUAUCCGAGGCCCAGUACAAGCAUUUGUUGGCAAUUGAACAUUUAGCGCCAAGAUUAGCAGCUCUCAGAUUUGAACUUUGUCCAGUCCAUAUGGGUGUGGGCUACUUUUGG